GCAAACUUGGUCAUUUAGAGGAAGUAAAAGUCGUAACAAGGUUUCCGUAGGUGAACCUGCGGAAGGAUCAUUAUUGAAUAACUUGCCUUGAUGGGUUGUAGCUGGCCUCUUGAGGCAUGUGCACGCCCGUCUUGACUCUAUUCAUCCACCUGUGCACAUUUUGUAGUCUUUUCUUCUCUGAGGUUCAAAGCUUUAUUCAGUUGAAACAUACUGGAUUUGAGGAUUGCCUAUGGCUUUCCUCUUGUUGGCUGGCCUUAGACGAGGGGGGGACUAUGUACUUUUCAUAAACCAUGUAGUAUGUUGCCAGAAUGUAUUCAAAUGGGCCUUUGUGUCUAUAAAAUCAUAUACAACUUUCAGCAACGGAUCUCUUGGCUCUCGCAUCGAUGAAGAACGCAGC
rnacentral:misc_RNA from 1 species